rnacentral:rRNA from 1 species
UACGAAGGGGGCUAGCGUUGCUCGGAAUCACUGGGCGUAAAGCGCACGUAGGCGGCCAUUCAAGUCAGAGGUGAAAGCCCAAGGCUCAACCUUGGAAUUGCCUUUGAUACUGUUUGGCUUGAGACCGGAAGAGGUUAGUGGAACUGCGAGUGUAGAGGUGAAAUUCGUAGAUAUUCGCAAGAACACCAGUGGCGAAGGCGGCUAACUGGUCCGGUUCUGACGCUGAGGCGCGAAAGCGUGGGGAGCAAACAGG